GGAGGCGUGCCAGAGCGGCCGAAUGGGGCUCACUGCUAAUGAGUUGUCCCCCCCAAAGGGGACCGGAGGUUCAAAUCCUCUCGCCUCCGCCA
rnacentral:tRNA from 1 species